rnacentral:rRNA from 1 species
CACGUAGGGCGCGAGCGUUGUCCGGAAUUAUUGGGCGUAAAGAGCUCGUAGGCGGCCUGUUGCGUCCGCUGUGAAAGCCCGGGGCUUAACCCCGGGUCGGCAGUGGAUACGGGCAGGCUAGAGGUAGGUAGGGGAGAAUGGAAUUCCCGGUGUAGCGGUGAAAUGCGCAGAUAUCGGGAGGAACACCGGUGGCGAAGGCGGUUCUCUGGGCCGUUACUGACGCUGAGGAGCGAAAGCGUGGGGAGCGAACAGG